rnacentral:guide_RNA from 1 species
AAACUACCAAAUAAUGAACAGAUAAAUUUCAGUGAGUGAU